rnacentral:rRNA from 1 species
CCUACGGGUGGCAGCAGUGAGGAAUAUUGGUCAAUGGGCGGAAGCCUGAACCAGCCAAGUCGCGUGAGGGAAUAAGGCCCUACGGGUCGUAAACCUCUUUUGCCGGGGAGCAAGGGCGGGGACGUGUCCCGGCCCGGAGAGUACCCGGAGAAAAAGCAUCGGCUAACUCCGUGCCAGCAGCGGCGGUAAUACGGAGGAUGCUAGCGUUAUCCGGAUUUAUUGGGUUUAAAGGGUGCGCAGGCGGACUUUUAAGUCAGCGGUAAAAGUUCGGGGCUCAACCCCGUUCGGCCGUUGAAACUGGGUGCCUUGAGUGGGCGAGAAGUAUGCGGAAUGCGUGGUGUAGCGGUGAAAUGCAUAGAUAUCACGCAGAACCCCGAUUGCGAAGGCAGCAUACCGGCGCCCGACUGACGCUGAGGCACGAAAGUGCGGGUAUCGAACAGGAUUAGAUACCCUAGUAGUC